rnacentral:rRNA from 1 species
AUUGAACGCUGGCGGCAGGCCUAACACAUGCAAGUCGAGCGGAGCAGCGGACGGGGGCGUAAUGCCUAGGAAUCUGCAAGUGAGUGGGGGAUAACGUUCGGAAACGGGCGCUAAUACCACAUACUAUCGGCUUAGCCUAUGUCGGAUUAGGUAGUGGGUGGGGUAAGGGCCUACCAAGGCGACGAUCCGUAACUGGUCUGAGAGGAUGAUCAGUCACACUGGAACUGAGACACGGUCCAGACUCCUACGGGAGGCAGCAGUGGGGAAUAUUGGACAAUGGGCGAAAGCCUGAUCCAGCCAUGCCGCGUGUGUGAAGAAGGUCUUCGGAUUGUAAAGCACUUUAAGUGGGGAGGCGUUACCCACAGAAUAAGCACCGGCUAACUUCGUGCCAGCAGCCGCGGUAAUAC